UACGAAGGGGGCUAGCGUUGCUCGGAAUCACUGGGCGUAAAGCGCACGUAGGCGGAUCUUUAAGUCGGGGGUGAAAUCCCGGGGCUCAACCCCGGAACUGCCUUCGAUACUGAGGAUCUUGAGUCCGGGAGAGGUGAGUGGAACUGCGAGUGUAGAGGUGAAAUUCGUAGAUAUUCGCAAGAACACCAGUGGCGAAGGCGGCUCACUGGCCCGGUACUGACGCUGAGGUGCGAAAGCGUGGGGAGCAAACGGG
rnacentral:rRNA from 1 species